AGCUAUACUGAUUUGCCACGAUGAACAUGCAUGUUGCAAUGGAAAUGAAGAAAAUAAUACGAAUGGAGAAAAGCAUUGUUGAAGAGAGGAAGAUGAGUGGUUGGAAAGCAAGAGGUUUGAAAGAAGGGAAUGAAAUUAUAUUGAGUGAGAGGUUCGGUUGAUGAGAGUUGGAGAAGAAGGGAAAUUCUAACUUUUCUUUUCUUUGUUAUCGAUAUUUCUUCCAUUGAUUUGUGAGUGAA
rnacentral:lncRNA from 1 species